rnacentral:tRNA from 1 species
GGAAACUUGCCGUAAUCGGUAUCGGAGCGGUUUGCUAAACCGUCCAGGCGAAAGCCUGUGUGGGUUCAAGUCCCGCAGUUUCCG